rnacentral:lncRNA from 1 species
UGAUGAUCUAUUCUGACAGUUUCAACAUUAAAAACUUGAUUUCUGGGGAUACUAGGUGUUUAGCCAACUGCAAGGGAACUAAUUCUAAAAGCAUCUCAUUUUUUACGUAAGGACAUCAUGACUGACAUAUGAAGAGAAAGCAGACAAAGGUGAAUGGUACCUAGAUCAAGACAUCCAGGACAAGACAAAACACACCAGUUUGUUCCCAGAGAGUUGCUUGUUGUUCUUUGAAGGUUUGUACUUAACCUGUUGGAAUCCUUCCUGUUGAACUGAGAUGCCAGCAAAGUAAUCCCCAGGGCCCAGGCAAAUGUCAUAUAGUAAAAGAAGGAUAUGAGAUAU